AUCUGUGUAAUUAUUUAAAUCUUUGAAAUAUUUGGAUAUUGCUUCUCAUUAGAGAAAGUCAGAAGCAGACCCUGAAGCGAUUCCUUUGGAGCAACCGUUAACCAGAACACUACUUUUUCUUUUGCAGUCCAAACAAGAAAAUGAUGGAGAUUGCUUUUAAAAGACCCGUAUUUCUCGGCCUACUGAAAACCAGACUGGAACCCUAGUUGCCCCUGUGCCAGUUUUCAUGGUCCAAUGCUAGAAUGGAGUACCCCGAACGCUCCGGUACCUCCGACGUGAUGGAUGUGUCAUCUGAUGACAGAACAAAGGAAGAGAGCUCGGACCCAGGAGAGGCCUUGGAACAGACUUGGGAUCCGCUUGCAUUUUCUGGGACUUGCCGGGCUGAAGAUGCCGUUCCCCCUCCUUCUUUGGGUCUUGUACAGGACAGAUUGGGGGGUCUUCUCUGCAGAAGGGAAACCCCCUCUGAGAAAUCCAUUCCAGUGUUAACGCAGAAUAAUCUUGAACUGGGCUUGGACUUCUCUGAGAGAUCCGGCCAGCCUUUCGAGACGAUAAAAAACUUGAAAACUCAGGAUAAGCGUAAUAAUGACGCUGCCCAGUCUGUUUUUUGGGCUGGUAUCCUGCAAGCUCAGUUGUGUGUCUUAGAUCUUCAGGAGGAAUUGGAUAAGCAGGAAGAAUCUCUGCAGGUUCACAGUGUGAAUUCUGAAUCCCUGGACUCAGCUACCUUCAACAAUCCUUCCCUCCUGGCAAGUGAUAGUGAGGAGGAGCCAGAAGAGAAUUUAGAAAAACAGGAGGAGGAAGAAAGCGAGGAGGAGGAAGAGGAGGAGGAGGAAGAGGAGGAGGAGGAAGUUGAAUACUUAUUUUUCAAUAACCCACUCUUUCAGGAAAGUCCUCACUUAACCAGAACUUUUGAAGGACAAGUUCCAUGGUCACAAUCAGAAGGAGAAACGUCCACUGAGAAUUACAAGAAAGAUGGCAAAAGUGAAGUGGGCUCUGGAAACCAUCACGGUGACUUCUUUUCCCAGGCCAAGGUGGCAGUAAGGCCUGUGGGCAGGACUUAUUUAUCUUCAUCUGGUCCGGAUGCUGAUGAGGACACAACCGCCUGUUCUUGUCCAAGUUAUGUGCCCCAUUAUCGCUCCUUGUCCCCAUUGAUAAUUACAGAAAGAGACCUUGAAAUCACCUGCUCUUUGGAUGAGAAUUCAGAGGCGGAGGGCUGUUUCCUGGAUCCCCUCCAAGGAGACGUUCUGGAAAGCAUCACUCCAGAGCCGCCUCCGCCUGGGUACCUGCCGGCAGAAGGCCUGCUGUUCUCCACCUCCGGCCCUUCCCUGGUGUCUGCUUUGCUGCAAGAGUCCACGCAGAGCUGCCCCCCCGCCAGGCCUACGUCUCCAGGGACGAGCGGCUGCGUCCCUUCCAGCGUCCGGGUCCCCUCGGCUCCCGCUGCAGAGCAGAGUCUGCAGCAAGAGAGGUUGGAGCCACAAGCCUCGCCCCGCGGCCGCCCUCCUUCGCCUUCCCGCACCUGGCUAGAGGAGCCUGAAAGAACUUCCUCUCCGCAGAAGGACGUCAGCGGAGCAGAUGUGCUCCCCAGCCCACUCUGUGGUGCAGAGCGGAAGCCGCCCAGCUCAGUCGAGAGAUGCAGCAUGGUGGAGCUGCCAGCUAUGCAAAGCGAUGGGAGGCCGGAAGGCAGAGGAGAAGAGCCCGCAGUACAGUAAGGAUGCUCUUUUUUGUGCCUCUUGGG
rnacentral:lncRNA from 1 species